GAUGAACGCUAGCGGCAGGCUUAAUACAUGCAAGUCGAGGGACAGCACAGGUAGCAAUACUGGGUGGUAACCGGCAAACGGGUGCGGAACACGUACACAACCUUCCUUUAAGUGGGGGAUAGCCCAGAGAAAUUUGGAUUAAUACCCCGUAAUAUAGUUGAAUGGUAUCAUUUGAUUAUUAUAGCUACGGCGCUUAAUGAUGGGUGUGCGGCUGAUUAGAUAGUUGGCGGGGUAACGGCCCACCAAGUCUACGAUCAGUAGCUGAUGUGAGAGCAUGAUCAGCCACGCGGGCACUGAGACACGGGCCCGACUCCUACGGGAGGCAGCAGUAAGGAAUAUUGGUCAAUGGACGCAAGUCUGAACCAGCCAUGCCGCGUGAAGGAUUAAGGUCCUCUGGAUUGUAAACUUCUUUUAUUUGGGACGAUAAAGGGCCUUUCUAGGUCAACUGACGGUACCAGAUGAAUAAGCACCGGCUAACUCCGUGCCAGCCGCCGCAGUAAGAC
rnacentral:rRNA from 1 species